ACUGCUCAGUAACACGUGGACAACCUACCCAAGAGUCAGGGUAUAACCCCGGGAAACUGGGGAUAAUACCUGAUAGGCCAUGACAUCUGGAAUUGAGUUGUGGUUUAAACGUAUAGGCUUUUGGAUGGGUCUGCGGCGGAUUAGGUUGUUGCCGGUGUAACGUACCAGCAAGCCUGUAAUCCGUACGGGUUGUGGGAGCAAGAGCCCGGAGAUGGAUUCUGAGACACGAAUCCAGGCCCUACGGGGCGCAGCAGGCGCGAAAACUCUACAAUGCAGGCAACUGCGAUAGGGGAACAUCGAGUGGCACCCACCAUGGGUGUCUGUCCAAUCGUCUAAAAAACGAUUGUCAGCAAGGGCCGGGCAAGACCGGUGCCAGCCGCCGCGGUAAUACCGGCGGCUCGAGUGGUGGCCGAUAUUAUUGAGUCUAAAGGGUCCGUAGCCGGCUUUGCAAGUCCCCUGGGAAAUCCAGCGGCUUAACCGUUGGGCUUUCAUGGGAUACUACAUUGCUUGGGACUGGGAGAGGUAGGAGGUACUCAGGGGGUAGGGGUGAAAUCCUGUAAUCCUUUGGGGACCACCGGUGGCGAAGGCGUCCUACCAGAACAGGUCCGACGGUGAGGGACGAAAGCUAGGGGCACGAACCGGAUUAGAUACCCGGGUAGUCCUAGCCGUAAACGAUGCUCGCUAGGUGUCACGGCAGUCGUGAAUUGUCGUGGUGCCGUAGGAAGCCGUGAAGCGAGCCACUUGGGAAGUACGACCGCAAGGUUGAAACUUAAAGGAUUGGCGGGGGGAGCAC
rnacentral:rRNA from 1 species